rnacentral:lncRNA from 1 species
UACAUGAGCUGUCUGACACCCAUGCAGUACUGACUAUAUGUGUAUAUUAUUCAUAGGUAUUAGGCAUAUGUACAAUAUAUGUUAUAUGUGUGUAUACACACAAAUCUGUAUGUAUAUAAACCAAUCCACCUUGCAAAUUGUCCAAAGGAGCAAAAGAUGCCAUGCUUUCUUGCAGUGUCUACUGGGAAUGUUAUAGGCAGGACAUGUCUAAGUGAAGUUCUGAUUUGGAGAUGGUGUCCUGAGCCAUGUCUUCCUCUGAAGAGGAGAGUGUCCAAGGGAGGAAAUGGGGUGACUGAACAAUAAUAAGGAAAGUAAGGAAAGCCUCAAAAAACCUAGACAAAGCAGACGGGUGCCCAGGGAAUGUAAGGAAGGAUGCUGCCACUUUAGAGGUAAGGGACCGAGGAAAGUUUAUGUCCCUUGAUCAGUGUUUGAAGAGACCAGUGGGGCCCGGGCUGUCUGUAGUCCUCUGGCUGCCCUUACCCAUGGCUUG